UCCAAUAUCCCUGUGAUUUUUAGGGUGUC
rnacentral:piRNA from 1 species